rnacentral:rRNA from 1 species
AUUGAACGCUGGCGGCAGGCUUAACACAUGCAAGUCGAACGGUAGCAGGAGAACGCUUGCUUUCUUGCUGACGAGUGGCGGACGGGUGAGUAAUGCUUGGGAAUCUGGCUUAUGGAGGGGGAUAACUACGGGAAACUGUAGCUAAUACCGCGUAGUGUCGAGAGACGAAAGUGCGGGACCGAAAGGCCGCAUGCCAUGAGAUGAGCCCAAGUGGGAUUAGGUAGUUGGUGGGGUAAAGGCCUACCAAGCCCGCGAUCUCUAGCUGGUCUGAGAGGAUGGCCAGCCACACUGGAACUGAGACACGGUCCAGACUCCUACGGGAGGCAGCAGUGGGGAAUAUUGCGCAAUGGGGGGAACCCUGACGCAGCCAUGCCGCGUGAAUGAAGAAGGCCUUCGGGUUGUAAAGUUCUUUCGGUAUUGAGGAAGGAGUGUAUGUUAAUAGCAUACAUUAUUGACGUUAAAUACAGAAGAAGCACCGGCUAACUCCGUG